rnacentral:rRNA from 1 species
UCGGGAAUUUUGGGCAAUGGGCGAAAGCCUGACCCAGCAACGCCGCGUGAAGGAUGAAGUAUUUCGGUAUGUAAACUUCGAAAGAAUAGGAAGAAUAAAUGACGGUACUAUUUAUAAGGUCCGGCUAACUACGUGCCAGCAGCCGCGGUAAUACGUAGGGACCAAGCGUUGUUCGGAUUUACUGGGCGUAAAGGGCGCGUAGGCGGCAAUUCAAGUCAUCUGUGAAAUCUCCGGGCUUAACUCGGAACGGUCAGAUGAUACUGUCACACUAGAGUACAGAAGGGGCAAUCGGAAUUCUUGGUGUAGCGGUGAAAUGCGUAGAUAUCAAGAGGAACACCUGAGGCGAAGGCGGGUUGCUGGGCUGAUACUGACGCUGAGGCGCGAAAGCUAGGGUAGCAAACGGGAUUAGAUACCCCGGUAGUCCCUGAGCGGGCUGGCAAGGCGCAU